AUAAAAUUAAUAAUUAAAAUUUAUAAAAAAAAUUUUUUUAAUAUUUUAAUGGGGGUUAAAGUAUUAAUUAAGAAAAAAUAUAAAUUUUUAUAGUAAAAUAGUAUUGUGAAAGAAAUUUGAAAUAAAUUAAAUAUUAAAUUAUUUUAAAGUAAUUUUUAUUUAUUGUAUCUUGUGUAUCAGAGUUUAUUAAUAAUUUUUAUUUUAACAAUAAAUUCUCGAAUUUAAAAGAGCUAAUUAAUUAAUAAAGUUAAUGUAGUAAAAUUAUUUUUAAUAAUUAAUUAGAAAUGAAACGUUAUUCGUUUUUAAAUAUAUCUAGUUAUUUUAGAAAAAAAUUUAAUUUUAAAUUUUAUAUAUUUAUAAUUUUAAUUAAAUAAUUAAUUAAAAUUAUAUAAAUUUUUAUAUUUAAAGGGAUAAGCUUUUAAUUAAAUAUUUACAAUAUUAUUUUAAUUUUUGAAAUUUUUAUAUUUUAUAUUGAUAAUAAAUUUUAAUUUAUUAUAAAUAAUUUCAUUUAAUAAAAAAUUUUAAUUUAAUUUUAAAUUAUUAUAAAAUAAUAUUUUUUAAUGUUUUAAAUAUAAUUAUAAUGAUAAAAUUAGUAUAUAAAUAAAUAAUUAUUAAAUUUAAUAUAAAUAAUUAUAAAUAAUUAAUAAAAAGGAAUUCGGCAAAUUUUAUAUUCACUUGUUUAACAAAAACAUGUCUUUUUGAAUUAAUUUAAAGUCUAAUCUGCCCACUGAUAAUAUUAAAGGGCUGCAGUAUUUUUGACUGUACAAAGGUAGCAUAAUCAAUAGUCUUUUAAUUGAUGACUAGUAUGAAUGAUUGGAUGAGAUAUAUACUGUCUCUUUAUUAAUUUAUAGAAUUUAAUUUUUUAAUUAAAAAGUUAAAAUGUUAUAAAAAGACGAGAAGACCCUAUAGAGUUUUAUUUUUACGUUAUUAUAUAUUAAAUAUUAAAAAUUAUAUUAUUAAUAAUAUUAAAAUUUUUAUUGGGGUGAUAAAAAAAUAAAAUUAACUUUUUUUUUAAUUUUACAUUUAUAAGUGAUUAAAUGAUCCAAUAUUAUUGAUUAUAAGAAAAAAUUACCUUAGGGAUAACAGCGUAAUUUUUUUUUUUAGUUCAAAUAAGAAAAAAAGUUUGCGACCUCGAUGUUGGAUUAAGAUAAAAUUUAAAUGCAAAAGUUUAAAAUUUUUGAUCUGUUCGAUCAUUAAAAUCUUACAUGAUCUGAGUUCAAACCGGUGUGAGCCAGGUUGGUUUCUAUCUUUUUUAAAAUAAAAUAUUUUAGUACGAAAGGAUCAAAUAUUUUAAUUGAAUUAAUAUUAAAAUAUUAAAAUGAAUAUUAUUAAUUUUUAUAUAAAUUUAUGAAAAAUAGUU
rnacentral:rRNA from 1 species